GUCCCUGCAGCGCAAUAGUUAGCGCGUUGGAUUUCUAAUCCAAGGGUCGUGGGUUCGAAACUCACCUGGGAUG